AAGAUAUGAGAUUUGGUACAGAUUUGUGUUUCCUGCAUAAAAAAAAUGCAGAAGUUCAACAUAAAGGGGGAAGAUUACGUAUAAUUGAAACCUAAAAUUACAAUCUACAAUUGAUUACAAUCAAACAGUUUUGAAUUUAAAUCAAACAAUCUUCAAUUUUAAUAGGACAACGACUUCAUGGUUAACACAUAUGAUGGCUUUGCGAGNNGAAUGCGAGUGAGACGAAACGGUGAAGCAAAGAAGACAGAAACAUCGGUUGCGUUGAUCACUAAGGCACCUUAAAAUGCAUCAAAUGCACUAUUAUUAUUAUUUUU
rnacentral:lncRNA from 1 species